ACAAAAAACCUAAACUAACCUAAUCUACCAUUUGAAGGAAAAAAGAAAAAAAUAAAUAAAAGAAAACCUAAGCACACUCUCCCUCUGCGCCGCUCGGUGGAUCAUCGCCUCCUUCGAAGGCUCCCCGAACACUGCUCCAAACUCCGAUGACGACGGAGGGAGAGCGAAAGGUCCAGUCGAGUGUGCGUGUUCCAAAAAAAGGGGAUCCCUUUACAAAAAUCGAAAACGGCUUUAUAUAGCCGGAAAUACAAUAGAAAUUUUACAGGUAAUUUUUCUAAAUUCCUCCUAUUUUUCUCUGCUAUUCCUUUUGCGUUUGUUGCGUUCUGUUUUUUGCUCGUUUGUUGGUCCUUUGCAGGUACAUGGUCGUACGAGGGCCAGCAUGUACGGGGGCUAUGCGUGGGAGGGGCGUGCUUGUACGGAGGCUCGCGCACACACACGAGAGGGGGCUCGUGCUCGAUUGCGGCGCGGUAACUGCUGCCUAGGGUUUCUGAUAUCCCCAUGUUAGGCUAAUUUGGGCUGAGUGAUUUGGGCCUGGAGGGUUAAGUAUUGGGUUAACAAUUUAGGCUUGGGAAUUUUGGGUUUUGUAAUCGGGUUUGGACUUGGUUGUAAUAAACUGGACAUUUAUUUGGUUUAUUUGUUAUUUAUUUGGGUUCUAAUA